ACGGAAUAGAGUCAAGACGACUCAGAGUCUCUACAGUACUGCAAAAAUUCUUCAGGACUCCACAGGCUUCCUAAACUCAACAAUAAGGCAUCUUAAGCAGAAGACAGCUUGGAAAGUGGUUGCAAGGUGGGUUCAAA
rnacentral:lncRNA from 11 species